rnacentral:lncRNA from 1 species
UCCACAAUGUAGUCUUUUAAGAGUUUCGUUUAGAGGGGGAUUUUCUCUCUCAUUAGUUUUAUACUUUUUAAGAUUAUUUUUAAUAUUAGGUUUUAUAUGUAGGCUAAUUGGCCAAAUCAUAUAAUAAAAUUAUGUUUUUAGUAUUGUUUUUCGUUGUCAUCUUAUUUAUCGGCUCAUAGUUUACAACUAAUAGCUUCCGCAUGACGCCCUCUCGAUUUCGAACCCAACAAGUGGUAUCAAACCCCACGGUUCAAUGAUUCGAUGGUACAAUUGUUGAAUAAAGUUGAAAUCAAUUUGAUGAUAAUGAUGAUAUAUGUCCAAAAACUACAUGUGGAGACGAUUUUUAAUAAUAUUUUCUACAAUUCUGCUGUUACAUAUUUGAAAAUAAAGCUUACUUUUAACCCUACAAAGGGCUUCAAUAUUUUUAACCCGAAAAGGGCUCAUAUAUUUUUAACCCCAAAAGCUCCAUUUUUAAACAUGUCAAGCAGCAGUGAUGAAGACUAUAUGAAGAACAAAGAUCUUAAACAUGUGCAGUGAUGAAGACUAUAUGAAGAACAAAGAUCAAAUAUGUGAAGAAGGUGAAUCACCGAAGAAAAUCUAGCCAAAAAGGAAAGAUUUGUUAGGGUUUUUGUCUUGAUUUUCUUACCAAAAUUGAGUUUUAAUUUUCUAUUGAAGGAAAAUAAAAGUAGUACCAUAAUUACUUUUAUUUUUCCUAAAAGAAAAAUAUAAAACUUUUUCCAUAUUUGGAUAACCUCUUUCUUGGAGGAAAGGUUUUGGACAUCUAUAAAUAGAAGACCCCCUUCUCAUACCAUAACACAAUAGCUUCUACAAUGUAGUUUUUUAAGAGUUUCGUUUAGGAGGAGAUUUCCUCUCUCAUUAGUUUUAUGUUUUUUAAUAUUAUUUUUAAUAUUAGAUUUUAUAUGUAGGCCAAUUGGCCAAAUCAUAUAUGAAAUUAUGUUUUUAGUA